rnacentral:pre_miRNA from 1 species
CACGUACUCCCUCCGUUCGGAAUUACUUGUCGCAGAAAUAGAUGUAUCUAAAUGUAUUUUAGUUCUAGAUACAUCCAUUUUCGAGACAAGUAAUUUCGAACGAAGGGAGUAGAUG